GAAAAGGAAGCAAAAAAUUGCACUUAGUUUCGACCUAAUCUUUGGAUCCUUUCCCCUUUUCU
rnacentral:tRNA from 1 species